rnacentral:lncRNA from 1 species
CUGAAUAAGAUAUUGACUUGUUUGACUUUUGUACAGGUACAUUAGCCCACUUGAUUUGUCACCUCAAUUCAUGAGGCAGAUCAAGUGGUCCACGCUUUUUUUUGUUAUUUUCUGAUUUUCUUUUAUUCCUUUUAUUUUCAUUAAUUCAUAUUAAUUUUAAUAUUGAUCCAAAAAAUAUGAGAGUUUCACCAAAAAUUUUCAAAUAAUUU